rnacentral:snRNA from 1 species
GGAUAUGAGGGCAAUCUGGCUGCGACAUCUGUCACCCCAUUGAUCGCCCGGGUUGAUUUGGUUGAUCUGGCUGGCUAGGUGGGCGUCUCCUUCCUCCCUCACUACUCCAUGUGCCUCCCUCCUGAAGCUGCGGGCUCAGUCGAAGAGGACGACCUUCCCCAAUACAGGAGGACCAUACAGGAGGACCAUUCUUUAGUCAAGGGUAUACAACUAGCUGCGCUUCCCUGCUAGAACCACCAAACAAGCUCUCAAAGGAAUGAAUCAUUUAAAAAUCUUCAUACACAUUCAUUUUGAGACAAU